GGCGAGAUGGCCGAGCGGUCCAAGGCGCCAGACUAAGGACUAGGACAUCUGAUGUCCAUUGUAAUCUGGUCCGAAAGGGCGUGGGUUCGAAUCCCACUCUCGUCA
rnacentral:tRNA from 1 species